CAUGAUGAAAUUAGGACGACAGGGGAGGGCAUACGAAAAAGUACUGCACGGGAGAAAAAGUUUACAGAGCGAUGAGCAUGGCUGCAAUCUCCACAGGUAAAUUUUCGGCCAAUGGUAUCCAUCGACGCCGGCGAGAGCCUCCACAGCAUUUCGACACGUACAUCAUCUGGCAUCUCAUCUUUUCGUCACCCUGCAGCUAGCACAACAUGAAUGAUAGAUGCCUUACCAAAACGAAGC
rnacentral:lncRNA from 1 species